rnacentral:rRNA from 1 species
GUAGUCAAUCUACCCUAUGGACGGGAAUAACCUCGGGAAACUGAGAAUAAUGCCCGAUAGAACAUUAUGCCUGGAAUGGUUUAUGUUUCAAAUGAUUUAUCGCCAUAGGAUGGGACUGCGGCCUAUCAGUUUGUUGGUGAGGUAAUGGCCCACCAAGACUAUUACAGGUACGGGCUCUGAGAGGAGUAGCCCGGAGAUGGGUACUGAGACACGGACCCAGGCCCUAUGGGGCGCAGCAGGCGAGAAAACUUUGCAAUGUGCGAAAGCACGACAAGGUUAAUCCGAGUGGUUUCUGCUAAAGAAACCUUUUGUCAGUCCUAGAAACACUAACGAAUAAGGGGUGGGCAAGUUCUGGUGUCAGCCGCCGCGGUAAAACCAGCACCUCAAGUGGUCAGGAUGAUUAUUGGGCCUAAAGCAUCCGUAGCCCGUUUUGUAAGUUUUCGGUUAAAUCCAUGCGCUUAACGUAUGGGCUGCCGGGAAUACUGCAUAACUAGGAAGUGGGAGAGGUAGACGGUACUCGGUAGGAAGGGGUAAAAUCCUUUGAUCUAUUGAUGACCACCUGUGGUGAAGGCGGUCUACCAGAACACGUUCGACGGUGAGGGAUGAGAGCUGGGGGAGCAAACCGGAUUAGAUACCCGGGUAGUCCCAGCUGUAAACUAUGCAAACUCAGUGAUGCAUUGGCUUAUGGCCAAUGCAGUGCUGCAGGGAAGCCGUUAAGUUUGCCGCCUGGGAAGUACGUACGCAAGUAUGAAACUUA